UACGUAGGGUGCAAGCGUUGUCCGGAAUUAUUGGGCGUAAAGAGCUCGUAGGCGGUUCGUCGCGUCGGCUGUGAAAUCCCGAGGCUCAACCUCGGGUCUGCAGUCGAUACGGGCGGACUGGAGUUCGGCAGGGGAGACUGGAAUUCCUGGUGUAGCGGUGAAAUGCGCAGAUAUCAGGAGGAACACCGGUGGCGAAGGCGGGUCUCUGGGCAACUACUGACGCUGAGGAGCGAAAGCGUGGGGAGCGAACAGG
rnacentral:rRNA from 1 species